rnacentral:rRNA from 1 species
UACAGAGGUGCCAAGCGUUAGGCGGAAUCACUGGGCGUAAAGCGCACGUAGGCGGAUCUUUUAAGUCAGGGGUGAAAUCCUGGAGCUCAACUCCAGAACUGCCUUUGAUACUGAAGAUCUUGAGUUCGGGAGAGGUGAGUGGAACUGCGAGUGUAGAGGUGAAAUUCGUAGAUAUUCGCAAGAACACCAGUGGCGAAGGCGGCUCACUGGCCCGAUACUGACGCUGAGGCACGAAAGCGUGGGGAGCAAACAGG